rnacentral:rRNA from 1 species
AGAGCGAACGCUGGCGGCAGGCCUAACACAUGCAAGUCGAGCGCUCCGCAAGGGGAGCGGCAGACGGGUGAGUAACGCGUGGGAACGUACCUUUUGGUUCGGAACAACCCAGGGAAACUUGGGCUAAUACCGGAUAAAGCCCUUACGGGGAAAGAUUUAUCGCCGAAAGAUCGGCCCGCGUCUGAUUAGCUAGUUGGUGAGGUAAUGGCUCACCAAGGCGACGAUCAGUAGCUGGUCUGAGAGGAUGAUCAGCCACAUUGGGACUGAGACACGGCCCAAACUCCUACGGGAGGCAGCAGUGGGGAAUAUUGGACAAUGGGCGCAAGCCUGAUCCAGCCAUGCCGCGUGAGUGAUGAAGGCCCUAGGGUUGUAAAGCUCUUUUGUGCGGGAAGAUAAUGACGGUACCGCAAGAAUAAGCCCGGCUAACUUCGUGCCAGCAGCCGC